AUUAUGUAUCACGGUUGGUUCUGUUCAGAUCAUGUUUAUCGGUUGGACAUGUUGAGUCUUGCUCUGGUAGUCCAUCUGGUGGUGGCAAUUUGUUCGGCCGAGCAUUCCGCACUGCAGGUGAUAGAUUCACCACAGGCGUUUGUCAGGCUGACAGUGAUGGAGACGGAGUAACUAACGGCCAGGAACUUGGAGAUCCGAACUGUGUUUGGACUCAGGGCGCUACACCAUCACGCUCCACAUGCCUCUCCCACCCCGGAUUUACCUGCUCCUCGCCUACUGAUCCCUACUGUACAGGCGAGUUUCUAACUGAAUGUGCAAGCUUUGACGUAGCAACACCGGCACCGACAACCCCAGCACCGACUACCACCCCAGCAACAACCACCCCAGCAACAACCACCCCAGCAACCACCACCCCAGCAACCACCACCCCGGCAACAACCACCCCAGCAACAACCACCCCAGCAACCACCAUCCCAGCAACCACCACCCCAGCAACAACCACCCCAGCAACCACCACCCCAGCAACAACCACCCCAGCAACCACCACCCCAGCAACAACCACCCCAGCAACAACCACCCCAGCAACAACCACCCCGGCAACAACCUCCGCAGCAACAACCCCCACACCAACCAUCCCAGAAGUAACCACUGGAGCACCAACAUCGUCCCCGCCACCUCCCCCAAUUUCUUCUCCACCUCCGACACCAGAUGCCUUCACUUCACAAAUGACCACCCCACCACCUCCUCCGAUAACGACUCCACCUCCAGUCACAGAUAUAUUUACACCACAAGCUACGGUGGCACCCCCGAACCUAGGUUUAUGUCCUGAUGUCGGCAACCCAGGCCUAUCCUCACAGCAGCGUUUGGAUGCCUACUUCAGCUGCAUUCGCUCUUUCAACGCCGAUUUCAGUCAGACAUACCGCUAUGCCGUGGCCAAUGGUGCUUUCCUUGGACGAUGUCCUCAAUAGUUGUAUACUAGUUCUGAGCACCCAUGCCGGGCCAUGCCGGGCCAUGCCGGGCCAUGCCGGGCCAUGCCGGGCCAUGCCGGGCCAUGCCGGGCCAUGCCGGGCCAUGCCGGGCCAUGCCGGGCCAUGCCGGGCCAUGCCGGGCCAUGGUCACCUGUCCAUCCUGCAGUACAUGUGCAUUUAUAUCAGCUGUCAGCUGUCAGUUGUACUGAUGAUUUCCAUGGUAACGGUAAUGCAUACUACUCAUACUACGUGCAAUAACAUGUUUUCAACUGCUGUAACCUGUGUUUGUGUGUGUAGCUAUGGCAACAGUUGAAUAAAGAGAUCUACAGACAAAACUCUGAGUGGUACUACAGCUAGCCAUCAAGUGUCCUGCAGGGGACUCAACAUUUUAGUUGUGAAAAUCAAGUUGCACCAGCGUAC